UCCUCUCUCACCAGCUGCCUCCCAGCCUCCCCAACCCCCUCCAUCCGGCCGGUAGUAGCAGAAGACGCCCGUGGCCUGACCUCGACCCUCUCGCUCCCACCCGCCUGGCCUGCGGUCCUUCCCUCCCUGGGGCCUGUGGGCGCACAGCUGGCCUCGCCGCACUCCCCCGGCACGCCCGGAGCCCGGCCCGGAGCGCACAGCUGAGGGCGGCCGAGUCAGGACGCUUCUCCUACGUUCCACCUCUGCACCGACCGGGUGGGGAGCAGGGCCUUGACUGCAGGAGUAAGGGCGGAGGCGCAGCGCAUCCGUGUGGUUCUCCACCCCAAGCCCUUGGGGGAACCUACGGCGCGCGCUCGCGGGUCGCCCGGGACCGGAGCGAAUCAACUUGGAAAACCAAAAAGGUCCAGGUGGAGAUUUCUAAGGGGCAGUUGAAAACGCGCAGACUCUAGACCCGGGCGGAACUGGUUGCUAAUCCCCG
rnacentral:lncRNA from 1 species